rnacentral:tRNA from 1 species
AGUUCUGUAGCUCAGUGGUUAGAGCAUUCGUUUCCCAAGUGAGAGGACCUGGGUUUGAUUCCCAGCAGGGUGA